CCACCCUCUGGAUCCCUUUCCCAUCAGGUCUGCACACCGACCUGGGUGGUCGUAAAUGGAGGGAAAGGAACUGGAUGCGGGCCCGAGUGUCUGGUGUGGAGACAGCGGACCAGGCCCGGUCCUCACAAUC
rnacentral:snoRNA from 1 species